CUGUGAGUGUCGGUGGAGCACUGAAGCUACGGUACCCUGAAGCUACCACAGUCUCUUCCCACUCCUGGGCUCUAAGAUAUUUGAUUUUGUAAUUCCCAAAUUGGAAUUGUUCAGAAACAUUAAGCACUAAUUAAACAAGCAAAACCCUAUACAUUUGAGAAUUCUGGUUAGUCUUCUGAGAAAGGACUAUAAUUAGAAAAGAAAGGGGGGGUGGGUAGGGGAUUUAGCCUUCAAGUAUGAAAGGAAGAGUAAUGAAAUGAUUGAUUAAUUCUUUACCUUUGGAGUCUACUUAACUUUGUGACCUGUAGCCUCUUAAUUCUUACCUGGAAGGCUUUGGGGUCAAGUUUUUUUUUUUUUUUUUUUAAUCUUCUUGCUCACGCAAGUUUAAGGAGCACCAGGCUAAGAACACAAAUGGAAGC
rnacentral:lncRNA from 1 species